rnacentral:rRNA from 1 species
GAGUUUGAUCAUGGCUCAGAUUGAACGCUGGCGGCAUGCUUUACACAUGCAAGUCGAACGGCAGCACGGGGGCAACCCUGGUGGCGAGUGGCGAACGGGUGAGUAACGCAUCGGAACAUGCCCAGUAGUGGGGGAUAACACAUCGAAAGAUGUGCUAAUACCGCAUACGCACUGAGGUGGAAAGCGGGGGAUCGCAAGACCUCGCGCUAUUGGAGUGGCCGAUGUCCGAUUAGCUAGUUGGUGGGGUAAUGGCCUACCAAGGCGACGAUCGGUAGCUGGUCUGAGAGGAUGAUCAACCACACUGGGACUGAGACACGGCCCAGACUCCUACGGGAGGCAGCAGUGGGGAAUUUUGGACAAUGGGCGCAAGCCUGAUCCAGCCAUGCCGCGUGAGUGAAGAAGGCC